UCGGGAAUUUUGGGCAAUGGGCGAAAGCCUGACCCAGCAACGCCGCGUGAGGGAUGAAGUAUUUCGGUAUGUAAACCUCGAAAGAAUGGGAAGAAUAAAUGACGGUACCAUUUAUAAGCUCCGGCUAACUACGUGCCAGCAGCCGCGGUAAUACGUAGGGAGCAAGCGUUGUUCGGAUUUACUGGGCGUAAAGGGCGCGUAGGCGGCGCGGUAAGUCACUUGUGAAAUCUCUGAGCUUAACUUAGAACGGCCAAGUGAUACUGCUGUGCUAGAGUGCGGAAGAGGCAACCGGAAUUCUUGGUGUAGCGGUGAAAUGCGUAGAUAUCAAGAGGAACACCUGAGGCGAAGGCGGGUUGCUGGGCCGACACUGACGCUGAUGCGCGAAAGCCAGGGGAGCAAACG
rnacentral:rRNA from 1 species